rnacentral:rRNA from 1 species
GUGUCAGCAGCCGCGGUAAAACGUAGGAGCCUAGCGUUAUCCGAAUUCACUGGGCGUAAAGCGCGUGCAGGCGGUUCGGUAAGUUGGAUGUGAAAUCUCCUGGCUCAACUGGGAGAGGACGUUCAAGACUGUCGGACUAGAGGACGGUAGAGGAAGGUAGAAUUCCCGGUGUAGUGGUGAAAUGCGUAGAUAUCGGGAGGAAUACCAGUGGCGAAGGCGGCCUUCUGGGCCGUUCCUGACGCUCAGACGCGAAAGCUAGGGGAGCAAACGGGAUUAGAAACCCCCGUAGUCC